UACGUAGGGGGCAAGCGUUGUCCGGAGUUACUGGGCGUAAAGGGUGCGCAGGCGGCCCGACAGGUGUGUGGUGAAAUCUCCCGGCUUACCUGGGAGGGGGCCACGCAAACCGUUGGGCUUGAGGCUCGGGGAGGGGCGUGGAAUUCCGGGUGUAGCGGUGGAAUGCGUAGAGAUCCGGAAGAACACCGGUGGCGAAGGCGGUCUGCUGGGGUGAGGCUGACGCUGAGGCGCGAAAAGCGUGGGGAGCAAACAGG
rnacentral:rRNA from 1 species